rnacentral:rRNA from 1 species
UGGGGGAUUUUGCACAAUGGGCGCAAGCCUGAUGCAGCGACGCCGCGUGAGGGAUGAAGGCCUUCGGGUUGUAAACCUCUUUCGCUGGGUUGAAAGGCCAUGCUUUGGGUGUGGUUGAUUUGAACUGGUAAAGAAGUACCGGCUAACUACGUGCCAGCAGCCGCGGUAAUACGUAGGGUACUAGCGUUGUCCGGAUUUAUUGGGCGUAAAGGGCUUGUAGGUGGUUUGUCGCGUCUGUCGUGAAAUCCUGUGGCUUAACCAUGGGCUUGCGGUGGGUACGGGCAGGCUUGAGUGCGGUAGGGGAGACUGGAAUUCCUGGUGUAGCGAUGGAAUGCGCAGAUAUCAGGAGGAACACCGGUGGCGAAGGCGGGUCUCUGGGCCGUUACUGACACUGAGGAGCGAAAGCGUGGGGAGCGAACAGG